AGCACGUUCCUUAGAUCCACCUGACGGGGCUCUUGCCCACCAACUUUUCCGGUUGGGUAUCGUCGGUGAAUGAGUCAUUGGCGUGCAAGACGACUGUACCUCCUUCUGCUUGCCAAGCCUCCCUAAGCACACCUUGCUAGAUCAGUCUGGCUGGAAGUCUUUUUUGACUGUUGUGAUCAUGUUAGGGGGAUAGGCAGGUGUUGGGGACAAU
rnacentral:snoRNA from 1 species